UACAGCCAUAUCACGAUAGAACACCGGUUCCUGUACGGUCAGUGAAGUUAAGCAACGUCGAUCCUGGUUAGUACCUAGAUGGGUGACCGCUUGGAAAUACUAGGUGCUGCAU